AACGGCUCGUGGAGCGGCUACCCGGAGUGACAUCGCCGGUGUUUGCGGGUGGUUGUUGCUCUCGGGGCCGUGUGGAGUAGGUCUGGACCUGGACUCACGGCUGCUUGGAGCGUCCGCCAUGAGGAGAAGUGAGGUGCUGGCGGAGGAGUCCAUAGUAUGUCUGCAGAAAGCGCUAAAUCACCUUCGGGAAAUAUGGGAGCUAAUUGGGAUUCCAGAGGACCAGCGGUUACAAAGAACUGAGGUGGUAAAGAAGCAUAUCAAGGAACUCCUGGAUAUGAUGAUUGCUGAAGAGGAAAGCCUGAAGGAAAGACUCAUCAAAAGCAUAUCCGUCUGUCAGAAAGAGCUGAACACUCUGUGCAGCGAGUUACAUGUUGAGCCAUUUCAGAGACAGAGUCUUGCUGUGUUGUCCAGGCAGGAGUGCAAUGGUGUGGUCUCGGCUCACUGCAACCUCCGCAUCCCAGGUUCAAGCGAUUUUCCUGCCUUAGCCUCCCGCGUAGCUGGGAUUACAGGAAGAAGGAGAGACAACCAUCUUGCAACUAGAAAAAGAUUUGCGCACCCAAGUGGAAUUGAUGCGAAAACAGA
rnacentral:sRNA from 1 species